UACGUAGGGGGCAAGCGUUGUUCGGAAUUACUGGGCGUAAAGGGCGCGUAGGCGGCACGGCAAGUCGGGAGUGAAAGGCCUGGGCUCAACCGAGGAACUGCUUUCGAGACUGCCGAGCUAGAGUGCGGAAGGGGCAACUGGAAUUCCCAGUGUAGCGGUGAAAUGCGUAGAUAUCUGGAGGAACACCGGUGGCGAAGGCGGCAUCCUGGACCGGUAUUGACGCUGAGGCGCGAAAGCCAGGGGAGCAAACGGG
rnacentral:rRNA from 1 species